GCUGAGUAGGUCUAUUGUUGUUGGCCCGUGACUAUGGCCAUGGUUGGUGUCAGAGAGUGUUGAAUUUGAAGAGGAAGAAGAAGAAGAGGGGGAGGAGAAAAUUGAAGGUGAGUGGUGGCUGCAAAUAGCAUGUGAAUAUUUGAAAUAAAAGAUGCUUUUAUAUAUAAGGGAUAUUAUGGAACAAAGGCUUUGUGAUAAAACGACAUAUUUCACUAAUU
rnacentral:misc_RNA from 1 species